rnacentral:rRNA from 1 species
UACGUAGGGGGCUAGCGUUAUCCGGAAUUACUGGGCGUAAAGGGUGCGUAGGUGGUUUCUUAAGUCAGAGGUGAAAGGCUACGGCUCAACCGUAGUAAGCCUUUGAAACUGGGAAACUUGAGUGCAGGAGAGGAGAGUGGAAUUCCUAGUGUAGCGGUGAAAUGCGUAGAUAUUAGGAGGAACACCAGUUGCGAAGGCGGCUCUCUGGACUGUAACUGACACUGAGGCACGAAAGCGUGGGGAGCAAACAGGAUUAGAUACCCGUAGUCCCUGAGCGGG